rnacentral:rRNA from 1 species
UCCAGACUCCUACGGGAGGCAGCAGUGGGGGAUAUUGCACAAUGGGGGGAACCCUGAUGCAGCGACGCCGCGUGGGUGAAGGAGCGUUUCGGCGCGUAAAGCCCUAUCGGCAGGGAAGAAGGAGGACGGUACCUGACUAAGAAGCCCCGGCUAACUACGUGCCAGCAGCCGCGGUAAUACGUAGGGGGCAAGCGUUAUCCGGAUUUACUGGGUGUAAAGGGGGCGCGGACGGCAGCGCAAGCCAGGAGUGAAAGCCCGGGGCCCAACCCCGGGACUGCUCUUGGAACUGCGCGGCUGGAGUGCAGGAGGGGCAGGCGGAAUUCCUGGUGUAGCGGUGAAAUGCGUAGAUAUCAGGAGGAGCACCGGUGGCGAAGGCGGCCUGCUGGACUGCGACUGACGUUGAGGCCCGAAAGCGUGGGGAGCAAACAGGAUUAGAUACCCCAGUA